rnacentral:rRNA from 1 species
AUGAGUUGCUUCAAGCUAACAAAGGAGGUUUGUAAGAAUUUGGCAUCUAGUAUAGCCAAGUAUUGGUGGAGUAGCAAUCUGGACCGUCGUUCUUUGCACUGGCUGUCCUGGGAAUCACUCAAUUCCCCUAAACAUAAGGGUGGGAUGGAAUUCAGGAUCAGGGAUCUCGAAUUGUUCAACUUAGCUCUCCUUGGAAAGCACGGACGGAGACUGAUGACCAAUCCCAAUUCCUUGUCUGCGCGGGUCCUGAAGGGAAGGUAUUAUCCAGCUUGCGAUUUUAUGCAAGCCACUGUUCCGAAAUUUGCAUCUGCGACUUGGCGAGCUAUCAUCGCAGGAAGGGAUGCGUUGAAAACUGGCUUGAUCAAGCGACCAGACAAUGGAUCCACUAUCUCGAUAUGGGAUGAUAAGUGGAUUCCGGGAACUUGGUCCAUGUCUCCUGUGGCCCGAAUUGGCAAUGCUAAUAUGAACAUGGUUUCAGACCUUAUUCAUUCGGACAACAGGACAUGGAAGAUGGAUAUUGUGACGGACAACUUCAUACCUCCUGAUGCGGAUGCAAUACUAAAUAUCCCACUCAGGUGGGGAGGGGGUGAAGAUGAUCUGGCACGGGCGUACGAAAGAACCACGUGCUAUACUGUCAAAUCUGCGUAUGGAUCUCUUAUUACUCAAAACGAGCAGCGAGCUCUAGCGGAAGGGACGAUAACCGAAGCUUCAGAGAUUGAAAGUUCUACCAAAAGUGCGAGUUUGCUGGUGGCGAGUCUUGCGGGGAAUUCUGCCAGCUCAAGCUACCCUACAUCAACGUCACAUUGCUUCAGUUAG